rnacentral:tRNA from 1 species
AGGCCUAGGAGAAACUCGAAUCCAAAUUUGC